rnacentral:rRNA from 1 species
UAGGGAAUCUUCCAUAAUGGACGCAAGUCUGAUGGAGCAACGCCGCGUGAGUGAAGAAGGUUUUCGGACCGUAAAGCUCUGUUGUUGGUGAAGAAGGAUAGAGGUAGUAACUGGCCUUUAUUUGACGGUAAUCAACCAGAAAGUCACGGCUAACUACGUGCCAGCAGCCGCGGUAAUACGUAGGUGGCAAGCGUUGUCCGGAUUUAUUGGGCGUAAAGCGAGCGCAGGCGGAAGAAUAAGUCUGAUGUGAAAGCCCUCGGCUUAACCGAGGAAUUGCAUCGGAAACUGUUUUUCUUGAGUGCAGAAGAGGAGAGUAGAACUCCAUGUGUAGCGGUGGAAUGCGUAGAUAUAUGGAAGAAUACCAGUGGCGAAGGCGGCUCUCUGGUCUGCAACUGACGCUGAGGCUCGAAAGCAUGGGUAGCGAACAGGAUUAGAUACCCUGGUAGUCCAUGCCGUAAACGAUGAGUGCUAAGUGUUGGGAGGCUUCCGCCUCUCAGUGCUGCAGCUAACGCAUUAAGCACUCCGCCUGGGGGAGUACGACCGCAAGGUUGAAAC